AGUGAACGCUGGCGGUAGGCCUAACACAUGCAAGUCGAACGGCAGCACAGGAGAGCUUGCUCUCUAGGCGGCGAGUGGCGGACGGGUGAGGAAUACAUCGGAAUCUGCCCAGUCGUGGGGGAUAACGUAGGGAAACUUACGCUAAUACCGCAUACGACCUUCGGGUGAAAGAGGGGGAUCGCAAGACCUCUCGCGAUUGGAUGAGCCGAUGUCGGAUUAGCUAGUUAGCGGGGUAAUGGCCCACCAAGGCGACGAUCCGUAGCUGGUCUGAGAGGAUGAUCAGCCACACUGGAACUGAGACACGGUCCAGACUCCUACGGGAGGCAGCAGUGGGGAAUAUUGGACAAUGGGCGCAAGCCUGAUCCAGCCAUACCGCGUGGGUGAAGAAGGCCUUCGGGUUGUAAAGCCCUUUUGUUGGGAAAGAAAUCUUUCAGGCUAAUACCCUGGGAGGAUGACGGUACCCAAAGAAUAAGCACCGGCUAACUUCGUG
rnacentral:rRNA from 1 species